AUGGAGUCUUGUGCAAGAUCAAUCAUUCUGGAAGGCAUACCCGCUGGCAUGCUGAUCUAUCUCGCCGUGGAACAUGCAUGUCUGUGUCUCAGUAGAAUAUCUGAGGAAUAUGGACGGACACCUCAACACCAAGGUUCAAGACAUCUCCAGUUUGAAUUCCUGUGCAUAUUUCAGUUCUCAGCGACAACAAAGGUGUGCAAUGUAUAUUUGAAGACCGAAGCUACAUCGUGGAAUAGCCUGGCUGGAUGGACACCUGUACACUGUACGGGACCCGAGUGGCUUCCACGUUUCUAUAAAUUCUUCGGCCUCCAUUGGACGACAACCAUGAAGAAGUUCACAACUGGUGUCCAUGAACAUGCACCCAUGCUUCCUCGGUUCCUCCGUCUUUUGAAGCUACGUUUGUUGCUUUGCUCAAUUAACUAG
rnacentral:rRNA from 1 species